GUACUCACCUCGGCAGCACAUACACUAAAACUGGAAUCUUAUGGAGAAGAUUAGCGUGGCCCCUGGUGCAAGGAUGACAUGCAAAUUUGCGAAGCAUUCCAUAUUUUA